AUUGAACGCUGGCGGCAUGCUUUACACAUGCAAGUCGAACGGUAACAGGCCUUCGGGCGCUGACGAGUGGCGAACGGGUGAGUAAUGCAUCGGAACGUGCCCAGUCGUGGGGGAUAACGCAGCGAAAGCUGCGCUAAUACCGCAUACGAUCUAUGGAUGAAAGCGGGGGACCGUAAGGCCUCGCGCGAUUGGAGCGGCCGAUGUCAGAUUAGGUAGUUGGUGGGAUAAAGGCUCACCAAGCCAACGAUCUGUAGCUGGUCUGAGAGGACGACCAGCCACACUGGGACUGAGACACGGCCCAGCAUCCUACGGGAGGCAGCAGUGGGGAAUUUUGGACAAUGGGCGCAAGCCUGAUUCAGCAACGCCGCGUGCAUGAAGAAGGCCUUCGGGUUGUAAACUGCUUUUGUACGGAACGAAACGGCUCUCUCUAAUAUAGGGGGUUAAUGACGGUACCGUAAGAAUAAGCACCGGCUAACUACGCGCCAGCCGCCGCAGUAACAC
rnacentral:rRNA from 1 species